CUUUCUCGCGCAAUCACAGGCUUUGCCGUACUCCCAGAGGCUUUGCCUUUCCAUCUCUUUGUGGGAGCACUGGAGAAAGUCAGGGAGAUGGAAAAAUAACUGGAAAAAGACAGCAGAUCUUUCACAGGGCUAGAUGCAGACACCAUGGGCAGCGUGAGAUACGGAAUCUGUUUUCUGAGAACACCACUUCUGGCUCCACCUCUUGCAGCAUAUUUCCUCUCUGAAAUGAAAAUGGGAAGACCAGCUCUGACUCAAAGUGCAGAUUUGAAUUUGCAACUUCCUGAACUUCAGGAGUAUUCUGUCUUUGUUUUAAUUCAGCCUGCAGUAAGGUAGGACAGUUUUGCUUGCUAGUUUUCAAAACCUAUAGCUAAGAUAAAGUCUUAUGUCAGCAUUUGCAAAAGUCAGGUGUUUGUUAGGUAAUUCGUAUCUAAGUUUUUUCUCCUGGCCACUUCUCUGAUGUAAAUGACCCGAACUGUGGAGCUUAUGAAUCUCCCCAGUUCCUUUGGGAAGCACGGGCAGCUGGAGCUGUUCACCUGCUGUGCUCUUGGCAGAGGUGGAAAGAUGCUGCUCCUGUUUCACAUCCAAAUAAGCUCUGUAAGUCUCCUCUGCUAGGUACUUUGAGUUGUACUAAAGCACUACUUUUCAGGGAGUUAUAACAUGCAUAUGUCGAUUUGAAGGAGCAGUCUGCUUCACACAGCCAGACAUGCGAUUUCAGCCCUGUCUGUAUCAGCACUGGAGGAGGCCAGUGAUGUGCCACCCCUCCAAUGGUCGCAGGAUCCAAGGAAGACGGACUGAUCGGGGCAACGCUGGCCAUGCUUCAGCCUUAAAUUGUUGUGAAUUUGUUACACAAACUGUAACAUUUCUCACUACUUACUAACCACGCCUUUUUGGCUCAACUUCUCCAGAAACAGUGAAUCUUGGUUAUCCUUGAAUGGUACAGUAACACAAAGAUUAGUUACAUCCCUGCGUCAUUUUGUAGGCACUUUGGUGCUACCAGACUGAGCCUGACACAUGCGAUACUGAGAGCCCAGGGAUGUGCAGCUGCUCUCAUACAGAACUGCUUGCCUUGUGAACUACCAGGCGAAGUUUUGUGUACUGAUGCAAGGGGUUUUCCAACCAGACAGGCAAGUGGCUUUACUCGGCUGGGUAAAUUUCCAUGGUAUAAACACGCUUCUCAACAAAUAGCCUCUUGAGGUCAUGUUUGAAGCAUGGGCAAGAAGUACAGAAAAAUGUGUACUGCUGUUAGCUACUUGAAAAAGGGCUUUGAUCUCCUGUGCUGACAACUGAAUACAUCCAAGAGGCAAUACAUUUCACAAAGCAUUCUAUUUGCCUUUUGUAUAAUGUAAGACAAGCAGGCCAUUACAUACAAGUACCAGAUACAGAGCGUUGUUGCCUGCUAAAGAAAAAAUAAAAUCCUGUUAACAGCUGAAGAAAUAAUGCCAAAAGAUGUAGUCUCAACACAGAACAGCAACAUCAAGCCCCAGCCAGCACAGACCUAAAUGUGCCACACUCCAGAGUCUGAAAAAUGGACUGGAAAGAUCUAAAAGAAGCAACAACGUAAAAGCUGGAACCUGAGUAAAGAAGAAAAUGAUUUAUGACCAGAAUUAGUGUGGAUUUAUCUUUGAGGGUUGAAAGUUGUACACAAAAAAAGAGUUCAAUAUAUCAGGGGGAAAAAAAAAAA